rnacentral:lncRNA from 1 species
UUUUUUUUUUUUUUUUUUUUUUUUGCUUUUGCUUUUUCAGGGCUGUAUCCGCGGCGUAUGGAGGUUCCCAGGCUAGGGAAUGAAUCGGAACUACAGCUGCUGGCCUACGCCACUGGCACAGCCAUGCCAGAUCUGAGCAUUGCUGUCUGCAAUCGACACCACAGCUCAUACAAUGCCAGAUCCUAACCCACUGAGCAAGGCCAGGGAUCGAACCCUCAUCCUCAUGGAUAAUAGUCGGAUUCGCUGCUGUCGCUGAGCCAUGACGGGAACUCUUUGCCCGUUUUUAUUGAAGACUUAAUGAGUCUAGUCUGUAAGAGUUGAUGGAUCGUUAUUUGUGGGCAGAUCCCACUAGCCAUGCCUGUUAGGUUAUAAUGGGGGCCCUGAGGCCAAAAGGCUUAGGACAGCCAGCCCGCCUCCUGCCUCCCAGACCUGGGCUGGGAAGACAGUCAUGGCCAACAGAUGAUUGAGCUGUGCCUUUCUCACAAGGAGAGAGAGAGAGGGCUCCAGGGGAGCUAUCGGAGCUCGGAAGUUGCUGGGUCACUGGAGACUUGAGGAAGGCCUCUGACCCGCACAGGGAGGACCAGUGAAGGUCUCCUCUCUGACUUGGAUGCUGGAGCCAGAACAGCCCACCAGGCAGGUGGCGGAUUCACUGCCCAGGAUCUUGGCCUGGCCUCAGCAUCAGCUCCAGGCUCAUCCCCAUCUUCCUUUUGCCGCGUUGUGUAGUCCAUUGGUCAACCCUGCACACGCCAGGUGUUCGCUAAUGCUGUCUGUCUGCCUCAGGCCUUUCAUCUCAGCAUCUUUCUUCUUGAGAGCAGAAUCCUGUCUGAUCCAUUUAACCCCCACAAAGUAAGGAUUCCUAAAUAUUUGUUGGAGGCUCAGGCUAGGAUCCCAGAUAGACCUGGGUUCAAAUCCUAACUUUGCCCCCGUCUGUGGACCUUUGACUUCUCCGGCCUCAUCUGCAAAAUGAAGUAAAAUAGACUCUUCUGAGGUUUUAGUGAAGAUUAGACACAUGUAAAUACAUGACAGUAGUGAGCUUUCAGGAAAUAGUGGUGCCAUUGCUGACGAGGGCAAUAGUGCCCCAGUGAUGCUCGGUCUACCUCAUUAAGUAGGUGCUAUGUGCAUUUUUUUCAGGUUUCAUUUUGCAGUAAGAGGAUGAUUGCUGGUUUCUGUUUAGUUUUCCCCAGUGACUGUCAGAAUGUAGCAAGUCAAACAGGACACCUGAGCUAAAGGCAUCCUUUCCCACCUCUCAUAGCCAGGCCCAGAGAGCUGCAUUGUUUUGUUUUAUGUUUUUUUGUUUUGUUUUGUUUUGCUUUUUCAGAGAUGCACUCACAGCCUAUGGAAGUUCCAGGCUAGGGGUGGAAUCGGAGCUAGCCUACGCCACAGCCACACAGGAUCUGAGCCAUGUCUUCAACCUACACCACAGCUCACGACAACACCAGAUCCUUAACCCACGGAGUGAGGCCAGGGAUCCAACCCACAUCCUCAUGGAUCCGAGUCAGAUUCAUAUCUACUUCGCCACAACAGGAACUCCCCAGAGCUGCAUUUCUGUAUGUACUUUUCACACAAAAGCCAUCAUCAGAUAUCAGAUCACCCUGGGGUUAACUGUGGCCUUUGGAGUUCACUGGGCAUCCAUAGUGGCCAGGAUCAUUGGGCAUCUUCCCAACCUCUUUGUGGUGAUAGCCUGGCUUGAAGCACCUUCCUGUUUCCAAGGUGGUGCCGAGGGUCCUGCUUGGAAAUUACGAUGCACAGCCUUGUGUGUGUGGUGAUUUAGUUCUCACGGAGGUACCUGGGCCAUGUCCGCUCCCACCAGGGUGUUGGCCAUUUGGGAGACCUGGCAGGUAGUGAGCUCUGUUACUCAGAAGCUCUGACCCUACAGAAAGCUGGGGGUGAGGUGGAGUCAGAUUGAGGACCCGACUCUGUCCACUGUGUGCCCACAGGGGCUGGUGACACUCAGCCAUUCCCUUAGUGCAUCACAAUGGAAGCCAGCACAUUGGACAGCUUUAGUUGGCUUCUCUGUGAGUUCAGGGUGGUGAUUAUUGAAUAGAAAACUUCAGUAUCAGCUAAUCCCCCAAGUAAUUCUCAGAAUGCUGCUCAUGUGAAGUGCACCACAAGAAAAGCUUCCAUGGCCAAAUGUGUUCAGAAAAUGCCUUACACUCUCUUUCCUUCUUGGCGUUUUAUAAUACGCUUCUGCACAUCAAGGCUCUGAGAAGUCCUGCAGUAAAGGAACAAACUUAACAUUGUUUAACACAGUAAUGCCCAAAUAAAAUUCACUGUGAACACACUUUUUUUUUUCUCGUGACAUCUAUUAAUAUCCCUAGGGGCUAGGUAAAAACACUGAAGAUAUCUGGUUAUCACAAAAGAGUUUUUAACAAGCGACAUGUGAAUAUUAUUAGGAAAGGAGAAUUUGUUAUUUUUUUAAUAAGACAUUUAGAAAAUAGAAUUAAAAGUGCUUCUUGUUGUUUUUUUUUUUUGUUGUUGUUGGUUUAUUGUUUGGUAGCCAGUCACGUUUACAUUCGACCCUAAAAUACUCAGUAUCUCAUCAACCUGCAGCCCUCCUGAAAUACCAGGGUCAUGACCUGCUAGAAGAUGCUUCCAAUGGGGGUAAGACUUGAACGUGUAAUAAAGGUAAAAUAAUGGCAUUUCAAAGAUGUUCUUUAAGAGACUCUGGGUUAGUAACUAGGGUUGUUGGUUCAAGUAGUUUCAUUUGAACCUCUGAACUCACUUUCUCAGCUAAGUGGGCAUCUCCUGAGCCUGCCCCUGACCUAGCUGGAAGAGCUAGAUCAAGCAGUAUUAGAUUGGAGCAGGGUGAAACAUUCAGGGUUGUCGACUUAUCCUGAAAAAUAUUUCUCAUAUACUUUGUGUCUUUGGGGAAUGGCACUCAUCCACAGAACUGUCUUGCAACGGAAUUGCUUUGACAAGAAUCACUUGAGAAUAGAGUGUUCUCGUAAUCCUGGACCAUGGAUCUGGGGAUGACCAGAGCCAUCCCCCCACCCCCUCCCCACCCACCCUUCCCUCCCCAGAAGCCUCACUGCUCACUUGCUCAGUCUGUUCUGAUAAGGAAUGGAAGCAUGGGGCUGCAGGUCACAUGUUAUGCCUGGAUCCGAGAGUUCAUUAGGUCACCUCCAAAACCUCUGUGCCAACUCAACAAGAAACAAUGGAUCCGCUGCAAGCCCUUGUUUAUUAUUAAAGGCCUCCAAUUGUACAUCCCUCUCGUCCCCUCGCUCCUGCGGCUGGUCAAACUAAUUUGAUUUGACAUCCUGGCAUUCGAGAUUUGUCAAGUAUUGUAACCCUAAGCGGUACUAAUAUUGAAAACCAUACUUGAAAUUUAUGUAAUCCAGAUGUGCAUGCCAAUAAAGAGGAGAUGAAAUGGCAGGCUCAGCCCGGGGGAGGAGGAGGGAGCUGAGUGGUGGGGGAGUUGUGUGUGUGUGUGUAAGAAUCCUGUUGCCCUAUAUUUUUUCUGCAUGGUAUCUAGAGCCAAGAAAGACUUUAUGUAUUAAUAUUUUCCCUUAAGAAUAAUAACUGGAUUAUGAAGUAUAGCUUUAAGUAAGUACCAGCAUCGGUUUUAUUCACAGCCAAGAAUAACCGGUUAAGUUUGGGGAGCAGGAAGAUGAUCUAUUUUAAGUGCUUUUUAAAACUUUAAAAAUUGGUCAGGACCCUCCAACGGUGUGGUGUGGUCGUGGGAAUUAUUAGUCACACUGAGGCAGGAUGUUUGACGUGGCUCUCUUUAGUGUCGAAUUGUUUUUCUAUUUGAACAUGUCCUUUUUCUCAUUAGAGGGCACUUGGUAUCGUUCAAAAGCCCUGCCCCCCACCCCACCGCCCAGGCCUAAGAAACAAAGGCUUUGACCCCUGAGCUGUCAGUUCCAAGCCCUCCCGGUGUUGGUAAUGCCCAGUUGCCUUUCUGUUUUCUGGAAGCUCAGUGAGUUGCUGAAUUAAAUGUGAAAAGAUGGAGUUCCCGUUGUGGUGCAGUGGAAACAAAUCCAACCAUGAGGUUUCAAGUUUGAUCCCUGGCCCCGCUCAGUGGGUUAAGGAACUGGCGUUGCCGUGAGCUGUGGUGUAGCUUGCAGACGUGGCUUGGAUCUGGUGUUGCUGUGGCUUGGCUCCAACUGGACCCCUAGGCUGGGAACCUCUAUAUGCUGCGGGUGCAGCCCUAAAAAGCAAACAAACAAAAGGUGAAAAGGUCUCUGUUCAGGUGUGUGAGGGUGGCCUUGCUUGGCCCAGCAAUGGCCGCUGGCACCACCUCCAGUGGGACAGUCACUCUCCCUGCCCAUGGCCCUGCCCACCUGUAAAGACAACCACAGAGUUUUGUCCAGCUGACCUCAAAGGAAUAAUUCACGUAGCUCACCUGACAGGUGGUUUGGGGUUGGACGUUUUGGUGUCCUUGACCUGAAAAGCUGGCAGAAAGUAUUGUUAGUCCCUAGCUUGCCGAGUGUAAUUAGCAAGCACCUUUAACUAGAGCUGGAAGCCCGGCGAAAACUGGCCAUGCCAGCCAGGAAAAGCAGACGACAGAUGAUACAAAGAAGCACCGAGCUGGGUUCCCCGUACAUGGGGGUGAUUUCUGGUGGACCUGGCUACUCAUAAAAGCCAUGGCUGCAGUUGGUACCAAUGCCAUCUAGUUAUUUCCAGGCAAGAAACCCAAGAUGGGGUUGCUGUUUUAGCCCCUCUGAGGGCGGAGUAAGAGGGAAAUGAGGCCGAGUGUUCAGGGGGGGCUUGCAGCGUGCCGUGGUCCCCGCACCAAAGGGCUCUGGAGAAAGUCUAGCAUGUGUUGUUUCUGCAGCGGGCAGUGCAGAACGGCUCCACUGGGUGUUUACCAGCUUUUCUCUUGUCAUAACUUAGGGCCCUCAGUCCAGGAGGGUGAGGAGGACGAAGCCUGCAUCUCACUCUCCUGCACAGAGCCUCAGCCUGUGGGUUCCCGCCGUGUUCUGAUGCAGGUCUUGAGUAAGGAAUGCUGUCCUGGCUCCAAGCCAAACAGAUUCCAAAUGAUGGAAUCGGCUGUUUCCUGUUGGGUUUCAAGGUGAGGGAGUCAGUGUGUGGUGCAAUUAGCUCCCCCUGCUACCCUGUUUGUUUAUUUCACAUUCGCUCAAGGCCCACGCGUGGAAUGGGGCUCCGGGCUGCGCGUGGCCGGUGUGGAGCGCGGGAGAGUCAGGGCCACGGGGGAACCUUCGUCCGCUCUGCCCGGCUCAGCGGUGCCGGGACUGGGGCCCCAGGCAGGAGGCAGACGGUCAAGGCUGCUGGUCCAGUUCUCUCCCCUGACAUCAUUGCUGCCUGAAGUGGAGGAUGACUGAGGAGGAGAGCAGGCUGGAAGUGGGAAGCAAGAACUUUUCAAAGCGGGAAGGCGUCGUGGCUUUUCGAGGCUCGUUUGCUCUGUGUUGCACCAGGCCGGGCUGGAGCGGGCUGACACGUGUCUCAUGGGAUCCCAGACUGAAAUGCGGAUCUGCACAUCUGCUGGUCUGACUUUGUACCUCCCGACCAGAACAGAGACCUGCUUGGCCAGAAAAAAAAAAACAAAUGACCUUGCUCUUUUCUUUUGAAAUGUUACCUAGCUGAGAUGUGCAUUUCGUUGUCAUUUGUUUGUUUUAAAUAUAUAGUAUAACCAUUCCAAUGUACUGCUUCAUGCAGGGCUGCAUAAGAUCACACUAGACGGGCUGUAACCAAAACAGAAUCAUAGCAUCAAUGAGGGCCACCGUGAGAGCACAGCCUAAGUGGAGUCGUGGUCUUAAGGUGGAGAGGGUAGCCUGGUGGCUAAGGGCUCCAACCUGGGAGUCCAUGAGCCUGGGUUUGAAUCCUGGCCCUGUGGCUUAUUGGCUGUGACCUUGGCCUCUCCAACCUUCUGACCCCCUAUUAUAAGAUGAGAUGGGGGAGGGGCAGUAGAGGGUAAAGGAGUAAAAGGUACAAACUCUUAGCAAAUAAGUAGAAAAUAAGCUACAAGGAUAUAUUGUAUAACACAUGGAAUAUACCAGUACUUCAUAAUAACUAUAAAUGAUGUAUAACUUUUAAAGAUUGUGAAUUCACUAUUUGUAUACCUGUAAGUUACAUAGUAUUGCACAGCAACUAUACUUCAGUUUAAAAAAUUUUUAGGAGUUCCCAUUGUGGCUCAGCAGGUUAAGACCCCGACUAGUAUCCAUGAGUAUGCAGGUUCCAUCCCUGGCCUCGCUCAGUCGGUUAAUGAUCCAGGGCUGCCGUGAGCUGCGGUAUAGAUUGCACGCAAAGCUCAUUGUCAUGGCUGUGGCAUAGGCUGACAUAAGCAUCUCCUAUUCGACCCCUAGCCUGGGAACUUCCAUUUGCCACGGUGCGGGCCCCCCCCCCCCAAAAAAGAAAAAUUUUGGAGUUCCCGUCGUGGCUCAGUGGUUAACGAAUCCGACUAGGAACCAUGGAGUUGCGGGUUCGAUCCCUGGCCUUGCUCAGUGGGUUGGGGAUUCAGCGUUGCCGUGAGCUGUGGUGUAGGUCAAAGACGCAGCUCGGAUCCUGCGUUGUUGUGGCUCUGGUGUAGACCAGCGGCUACAGCUCCAAUUCGACCCCUAGCCUGGGAACAUCCAUAUGCCUCGAGAGCAGCCCAAGAAAAUGGCAAAAAGACAA